GUCAAUGGUGCAGUGGUAAACACGGUUGUCUCAUGAACAGCGUGUCCGUGGUUCAAAUCCCGGCUGCA
rnacentral:tRNA from 1 species